rnacentral:rRNA from 1 species
UUGACGCUGGCGGCAGGCUAACACAUGCAAGUCGAGCGGUAGCACAGAGAGCUUGCUCUCGGGUGACGAGCGGCGGACGGGUGAGUAAUGUCUGGGAAACUGCCUGAUGGAGGGGGAUAACUACUGGAAACGGUAGCUAAUACCGCAUAACGUCGCAAGACCAAAGAGGGGGACCUUCGGGCCUCUUGCCAUCAGAUGUGCCCAGAUGGGAUUAGCUAGUAGGUGGGGUAAUGGCUCACCUAGGCGACGAUCCCUAGCUGGUCUGAGAGGAUGACCAGCCACACUGGAACUGAGACACGGUCCAGACUCCUACGGGAGGCAGCAGUGGGGAAUAUUGCACAAUGGGCGCAAGCCUGAUGCAGCCAUGCCGCGUGUAUGAAGAAGGCCUUCGGGUUGUAAAGUACUUUCAGCGAGGAGGAAGGCAUUGAGGUUAAUAACCUCAGUGAUUGACGUUACUCGCAGAAGAAGCACCGGCUAACUCC